rnacentral:rRNA from 1 species
UACAUGGGGUGCAAACGUUGCUCAGAAUUAUUGGGCGUAAAGCGCGCGUAGGCGGUUACUCAAGUCGGAUGUGAAAGCCCUCGGCUUAACUGAGGAAGUGCACCCGAAACUGAGUAGCUAGAGUACUAAAGAGGGUCGCGGAAUUCCCAGUGUAGAGGUGAAAUUCGUAGAUAUCGGGAGGAACACCGGUGGCGAAGGCGGCGACCUGGGUAGAUACUGACGCUGAGGCGCGAAAGCGUGGGGAGCGAACAGG